AGUGAACGCUGGCGGUAGGCCUAACACAUGCAAGUCGAACGGCAGCACAGUAAGAGCUUGCUCUUACGGGUGGCGAGUGGCGGACGGGUGAGGAAUACAUCGGAAUCUACUUUUUCGUGGGGGAUAACGUAGGGAAACUUACGCUAAUACCGCAUACGACCUACGGGUGAAAGCAGGGGAUCUUCGGACCUUGCGCGAUUGAAUGAGCCGAUGUCGGAUUAGCUAGUUGGCGGGGUAAAGGCCCACCAAGGCGACGAUCCGUAGCUGGUCUGAGAGGAUGAUCAGCCACACUGGAACUGAGACACGGUCCAGACUCCUACGGGAGGCAGCAGUGGGGAAUAUUGGACAAUGGGCGCAAGCUUGAUCCAGCCAUACCGCGUGGGUGAAGAAGGCCUUCGGGUUGUAAAGCCCUUUUGUUGGGAAAGAAAAGCAGCAGGUUAAUACCCCGCUGUUCUGACGGUACCCAAGGAAUAAGCACCGGCUAACUUCGUG
rnacentral:rRNA from 1 species